rnacentral:rRNA from 1 species
UACAGAGGUCUCAAGCGUUGUUCGGAUUCAUUGGGCGUAAAGGGUGCGUAGGCGGCGCGGUAAGUCGGGUGUGAAAUCUCGGAGCUUAACUCCGAAACUGCAUUCGAUACUGCCGUGCUGGAGGACUGGAGAGGAGACUGGAAUUUACGGUGUAGCGGUGAAAUGCGUAGAGAUGUGGAGGAACACCGAUGGCGAAGGCAGCCCCCUGGGCUAACACUGACGCUCAGGCACGAAAGCGUGGGGAGCAAACAGG